rnacentral:rRNA from 1 species
UACGUAGGGGGCGAGCGUUGUCCGGAGUUACUGGGCGUAAAGGGCAUGCAGGCGGUCGGACGCGUUUUGUGUGACAGCGGAUAGCUUACCUAUCCGAGCAUACGAAAGACGGUUGGACUUGAGGACUCGAGAGGGACACGGAAUUCCGGGUGGAGUGGUGAAAUGCGUAGAGAUCCGGAGGAACACCGAAGGCGAAGGCAGUGUCCUGGCGAGUGACUGACGCUGAGGUGCGAAAGCCAGGGGAGCGAAUGGG